rnacentral:rRNA from 1 species
GAUGAACGCUAGCUACAGGCUUAACACAUGCAAGUCGAGGGGAAACGAUAGAGAAAGCUUGCUUUUUCUAGGCGUCGACCGGCGCACGGGUGAGUAACGCGUAUCCAACCUGCCCAUCACUUGGGGAUAACCUUGCGAAAGUAAGACUAAUACCCAAUGAUAUCUCUAGAAGACAUCUGAAAGAGAUUAAAGAUUUAUCGGUGAUGGAUGGGGAUGCGUCUGAUUAGCUUGUUGGCGGGGUAACGGCCCACCAAGGCGACGAUCAGUAGGGGUUCUGAGAGGAAGGUCCCCCCACAUUGGAACUGAGACACGGUCCAAACUCCUACGGGAGGCAGCAGUGAGGAAUAUUGGUCAAUGGUCGGCAGACUGAACCAGCCAAGUCGCGUGAGGGAAGACGGCCCUACGGGUUGUAAACCUCUUUUGUCGGAGAGUAAAGUACGCUACGUGUAGUGUAUUGCAAGUAUCCGAAGAAAAAGCAUCGGCUAACUCCGUG